GUGGGGAAUAUUGGACAAUGGGCGAAAGCCUGAUCCAGCCAUGCCGCGUGAGUGAUGAAGGCCUUAGGGUUGUAAAGCUCUUUCAGUGGGGACGAUAAUGACGGUACCCACAGAAGAAGCCCCGGCUAACUUCGUGCCAGCAGCCGCGGUAAUACGAAGGGGGCUAGCGUUGUUCGGAUUUACUGGGCGUAAAGCGCACGUAGGCGGAUCGUUAAGUCGGGGGUGAAAUCCUGGAGCUCAACUCCAGAACUGCCUUCGAUACUGGCGAUCUUGAGUCCGGAAGAGGUGAGUGGAACUCCUAGUGUAGAGGUGGAAUUCGUAGAUAUUAGGAAGAACACCAGUGGCGAAGGCGGCUCACUGGUCCGGUACUGACGCUGAGGUGCGAAAGCGUGGGGAGCAAACAGGAUUAGAAACCCGAGUAGUCC
rnacentral:rRNA from 1 species